UGGUAAUUUUAAAACUUUUUCAAAAUUACGAUUUUACAGUGAAAAAAUAUUAAUUAAUCUAAUUAAUUAAUAUAAAUUUAUUCUACAUUAGGAUCUAAAUAUGAUAUAUAGCAUGCAUGCAUUUAAAUUUGAAAUUCAAAUUCGAACAGUAAACACUUUACUGUAAUGUGUUCAGAACACAAUACCUUUGUGCGGGUAGUAGAUCGCCGCAAUCUGA
rnacentral:lncRNA from 1 species